AUACAGAGUCAGGAUGGAUGGAGAGUGAAUUACGACGAGACUGAGGUCUGUGCUGCAAAAGGAUCAGUAGUGGGAAUUUACUGUACCUUCACACACCCAUCUGGAUUAGAUCGCCGGGAUAUGAAAAACAUAUUGUGGUUCACUAAAGAGAAAGAUGGUGAACCUGUGGAUCUGAGAAAAGACCCUGAGUAUUCAGCCCGUGUGGAGUACAGAUGUUCUAAGAACAGUUGCACUCUGAUCAUCACAGACGUGAGAGAGAGCGACUCAGCUGAGUACAAAUUCACAUUAAAAACAACCAAACCAGGAGAGAAAUAUACUGGUUCACCUGGAGUCACUUUGUCUGUCACAGGUCUCCAGGUGCAGGUGAGAAGAUCAGAUUCUACCUGGUUGGAGCUGACGUGUCACAGCAGCUGUGUUCUGUCUGAUGAUCCUGAAUACGACUGGUACAAGAAUG